GCUGGACAUCUCGUGGAUGGAGGUGCACUGCGUGACGGCUGCAGAGGAUUCACCGUCUAGGGAGAGGCAGCUGCAGGAAAUAUGUCUCCAGGCUCACCUCUGUGAGCUCCUCAUUCCUAUUCUUGUGAAUGGGGAUUGACCAGUUAUAUAGUUCUUUCACUUGUGCAACUCUAUGUGAUUCUUGCAGAUCGAGGUUAUGAUGAUUGGCAUAAUUAGCCAUGGAACUUUUAUCUACCACUGCUAAAAAAAGGCGUGGAGCUAAGUUAUGCUUUCUCUAUCACUUAUUUAAUUACUGAAUCACUGAAUUCUAUCUGUAGUCAUUUUACAGCUUGGAUAGUAGUUUUCAUCUUGAGUCAUCUGCAGCUCAUCUGGCUCUGUUUGCAGUUAAAUUUAUGUACAAUCCGAGGCUGUGGCCCUGUGAUGUGCUUCACGCGAACUUCCUCCACCUAUGAAACUGCUUCAAUGCAUAAAAGUCUACUAUACGAGUGCCUGAUGGCGAGAAGGCGGGCUUCCAGCUGAUAUUAGUUGCAUGAUAAGCAAGCAUGAUCGACCCACAGAUAAUCAUGUAAGGCAUUUUCUUCAGACAAGAAAUUCCAUGUUACUACGGACCAACAACUCCUAUGAAUUAUAAGGAAGUGUUGGUAGGCUCCUUUUUUGAAAUUAACUUGUUUCCUGCAAGAUUUAUUAUUCAUUUCAUUAUGUGACUUCAGCAUGCCACUUUGUAUUUACUUAUCCAUCAUUUGUGGUCCUCGAUUCUUUCUGCAACUUAUUGCGCUAUUAUUUAUCUGGCUGUUGGCUUCGUGUAUUCUGGUUAGUUAUGGUAGCCU